GGAAGUGAGUUACCUGGCUAACACUUCUAUCACUCUAUUGAUGGCCAGGGCUCUUUUGGCUGAUCUUGUUGACAAGGUGAAUCUUCCCUUUAUCCCUCAGCACUACAUAGUGUCUCUCCCAAACCUGCAUGCUCAAAGAGGAUGACCUUCUCUAAGAGAAGCAGAUCAUUUCCUUUGUGAAAGGUAUAUGAGUGGCUGCACUCCCCUGGUAGAACAUCCAGACAAGUUCUUCUUAGGCUCAUUGUGAUUUUCUGUGGGGAAAUAAUAUACCAGCUUAAAAUG
rnacentral:snRNA from 1 species